AGGGGGACAACUCCCAAUUGCCAACCAUGUUGCCGUCUCAGAGAGACUCCAGCAUGAAGUUUCAGUCAUCCAUGGGAAAAACCCCCUCUUCUCUGUAUGCUUUAUUUAGUUUUCUCCCUUCCCUCUCCCUUUCCUCUCACUUCCCUACUCCUUCACCCUGCUUCUUGGGAUCGCCUCUUCAACAAACUAUUCAAGCCCAAAUCUUUGUCUCAAGGUGUGCUUUUGGGGGGAACCCAAACUAAGACAACAGACAAUAGCUGUGUCUUAAACUGUGAAUAUACAUACAUGAAGGCUGGAGCCUCAGUGGCCAUCUGGGGCCAGGAGACACCAAUGAAGUGUUUGAAGGCACAGUCUUCAGUAGGUGCUCAGGAAGAAGGUGAGAUGAAAAAGACCUGGAGAUCGUGCCCUCAAGCUGCUAAUCAUUUACUGGGAGUGGCUGGAUAUGGAUAGAAAGAACCAUAAUAGGUGGUUCAGCAUCAGGAGCUGAGCUGAACACCUCUCAGAGGCUCUACUGUAAGCUGUUAACGGGAGGCUGAUUCCUCCUGGGGAGAGAGAUGGCUACAGGGAGAGAAACAUGCUUUCCAGUUUCACCCUUUCGCACCUAAAAUAAGAAGGGGCGGGGGAGAACCACUGUCUUUUCUGGUAGCUACUCCAUUCCUACUGGUUCAAUUCCAACUGACGAUGACUGAAAGCCUCCAGCCUUUUCCAUAGGCACCGCUCUCAAGCCACACUUCCUUCAUCCUGUGCUUGUGCAGCCGAUUAAAAAAAUAAAAGAAAAUCGAAAUGCAGGUCUUUCCGAGACUGGAAAAUGCUAUGCUGCUGGCUUUGAGGAUGGAUGAAGCCAGAGGCCAAGGAACACAGUAGCCUGGAGAAGCUUGAAACCGGCCUGGCAUAUGUUCCCCUGGGGCCUCCAGAAGAAAUGCAGCCUUGCCAACACCUGGAUUUUAACCCUGUAAGACGUAUCCUCAGGCUUCUGGCCUACAGAAACGUAAGACGAUGAAUGUGCACUGUUUUAAGCUAAAGUAAAUAGAUUGAAUACAUGCAAGUCUUUGCACUGUGGGUUCAUGGUUGCUUUCAGCCCUGUUUCAAGAUAUUUUAGAAUCUUGUUGCUGACAUCCAAAUGUUAACUUUCCCUCCCAAUAGUAGUGCCAUCUGCCAAUGUGGGGAGUGUGGCAGGCACAGGAGGGAAACUACUGAGCUGACCAAAUGCAGGGUCAGGAGCAUGAAACUUUAACCCUUCCGCCCAGGUGCACAUCCAGUGAGCAACCAACUCCACGCACCGUGGCACUUGGGCAAUACAUCCACCUGGCUGGGUGCUCUCAGUUGUCUCCUCAAUCAGGAAACGUUCAAUGUCUAACUGGAAAUGAGGCACACCACGUCCAGGGAAUUUCCUAGUGGCCAUCCAAAUAAAUAAUAAAUUAU